UAGAGCUCCCUAUUUGUGUGGCUCAACGUGCAAGGGGCCCCACAGCAUCCCGGAGCUCCACGGAGGUGACCAUGUGCCACUGCCUGCUUGUGCCCAGUUAAAUGGAUUCGGGAACUCUGUUAGCGGAUUUAAAUAGUGGUCACAAAACAAAUAGUAACAAUAACAAUAAUUCUUCUGCUGCAGGAUAACUGGCCCUUGAUGCAGCUCAGCAUCAUGAGUGGUUCUGGGCUUAAAGAGAUUAAAGAAACAUAAAACCAAAUGUGGCACAAGAACCCUUAUGGUGUCCUAGGUUGGGAGGCUUAUAAAAUCUUCCACAGGACAAUUCAAGAAAUGAGUGGGGACUUGUGGAAGAUUCAUUUUCUUAGGUGCAGCAAUAGGACUGUGGUUGUGUGGUUUUAGGAGCCAGUAUCCUGGAGUCUGCAGGGGAGGGGCUCCCAGGGUGGUAGGGCAGAGAGGAGCCAAGCAGCAGGGUGCGGUCAGCACCGAGGUGGCUCGGGUGCACGCACUCCUCUCUCCAUAGUGGAAUCGUUUUAAAAAUUCCUGUACCAAAAGCAAGCUGCAGAGUGAAGACAGUACUGAGUAUAAAACAAGCUAGCAAGAGCACGUCUAGCCCAGCCCAGCCCACCCCAGCCUUUCUCCUGCCUGGGGACAUGGUGCAAAGCAGAGGGGUCAUUGGGGUCUGAGGUGUUGGCCCCCCCAAAAAUACCCAAAAAACCAUGGGAAAUGGAUGUAAGUCAUUUGUUACUCAUUCUGAACCCUUCCCUAAGAAAAUAUUGUACCUGAGAAUAUCAGCUAAUGAUGGU
ensembl:lncRNA DiGeorge syndrome critical region gene 12 (non-protein coding)